rnacentral:sRNA from 1 species
GCUGGGUGUAGUGGUGCAUGCCUGUAAUCCCAGCAGCUCAGGAGGCUGAGGCAGGAGGAUCACGGGUUCAAAGCCAGCUUCAGCAAAAGUGAGGCACUAAGCAACUCAGUGAGACCCUGUCUCUA